UAUUCCGAUCAUCUAUUUUGGUCUCAGCAAUGUAUAACGUCUCUUGAUGUACAAAAUUCUUUCAUGUUUUGUCAAAUUUUACCUUUAAAUCGAGCAGUACGGACGGUCCUGUAUUUGCAUGCUGAUAUUUGUCUCAGGCUUUUGUUCAGGGACGGAUUAAUUUAUCAGCGCCGCUUAAUUUUAGAGUAAUUUGUGUAAUUCUCCUAGGUGAUGCGAUAAAUUAUGGUUUGCUGUAGAGGAGAUCAGUUAAGUAGGUUAUAGAAACGCGGAGUAGUAUAAUGUAAAUUGAUAGGAAGUUUACAGGAAAAAUAAAUGGAAUGAGUUAGUUCUGAACUUCUGAUUCUUAAGGUCCUGUCCUGUUUUAUAUAAGUACAGGUACGUAUAUACUUGAUAAUGAUCUGAAGCAUGAAUACACGUUCCUUCGAAUAAUUUUUAUGUUUAUAAUGAGUGAUCUAUAUCAUUGUGUAAAUUGUGUGUCUAGCUACACACUGGUUUUUAUAUACACAUACUAGAAUAUGUAUUCAUGUACUAAUUAUUGAUAACUGAUGUACGAUGAACGAACAGAGUUGUACUUAUUUUAUUACGCCUGCUCUAGUGAAUGACAAGUCUUUAAAUUUAAUCUAGGCGUUUUCUUAUCUUCAUGGGAUAUGGCGAUCUCUCUUUUUUUGAGAUAGGGCUGGAGGAAGGAUUUUUGUUUAGUGGCUUUAAUAUGAUGCCCUUAGCUUGCAAUCUACCUUUUUACCUUUUAGGUGCUUCUCUCUUGGAAGUGUUUGAUGCCAAAACAGAUAUGUAAACUUGGUUUAGAAUGGCUGUUUAAUUUUUCAGUUGCUACAUAGAUAUUGACGGGAGAUUUGUACGAGUAACUUUUAGGAUGCUUUAACUUCAAAUCAAUCUGUAUCUUCAUGGGAAGCCUUUUGUUGAAUGCCCUUGACUUUCAGGCUUCAUAAGAAAUUCUGUAAUGCUCUAAGGUAAUUUUGGAUGUAUAUACAGAUCACAACCAUCCAGAUCUAUCAUUGAGGUUCAUUCCUGUUGGAACAUUCCAGACUAAGAGUGCGUGGGCUAGAAAACAAGCCACUCAAGCAUCUGGAAUACUUGGAUCUUCUUAGGCCCACUGAUGCUGACUCCCACGUGAAGUAAUAUAUGUUCUUCAAAUGCCAUGCACACAAAUGUUCCAUUGAGCUUCAUUUCUUUUGACCGGUAAUAUUCCACUAUGGUGCUGCUUUUCCAACAUAUAUGAGUCAUAUCUUUAUUCUUUCACCAAAUUGGAAUAUAUAAAGCUAGGAAUCCAUGCGAACUUAGCUUAAGAUAGAGCACAGUGGAAGAAAAAAGAAGCUAUAUAGGCGUAACUAAUUUUCUGAAACUAUGUUUUCGUCAUGGUAGUACAUUUUUAGCUCUCUCAGAGACUUUUAUGCCAAUAGAAAAAACUUCAAGUACUUUUUUAAUUUUACUUUGUAUAAUGUUUUCUGAGAUGAAUUUUUAAAUGGAGAAACAUGGUUAGUGAGAAUUCAGAUAACUAACCGCAGUAUAUAUGAGAUUGAGGCAUAACUAUUGACUGUUGUUAUAGUACAGAGUUAGUAAUAAUCUUGGAAUGCAUUGUAUCGCAAUUUAGCCAGAAAAGACAUUGCUGUCUUUGUUAGAAAAUGUGAUUGACUUUACAGACUAAUAUUUUUAUAGUACAAUUUCAUAGAAGGUAACAAAAAAGUUUCUCAGAUGAGUUUCAACAGAAACAGUAAACUAAGUUCAGAGGUAUCUUCUGUUUUUUUUUCUUUUCUGUUGCUAGUAUAUUAGUUUUUAUCAGGUGGCAUCUGUUUUCUAGGGGUCUCUUUGGCUUCUUGUUUCCUUCCAGAACCUAGAAGGGAGUCCAUGCUGAGGUAUUGGGAAUGGGCUAUAUUGUACUCCUUUGGAAACUUCGAUUUCCCACCUGCAAUAAUUAAUGUGUGAGUAUGAAUUUCUAAUAAAGUUAGAGCACUGAUAUAUUUAGCACUCUUCUAGUAGGUACAAUUGAAAUUUCAAAAAAUCUCCUGGCGUGACAUAAACACAAGUGAAGCUGGAACUGAGAAGAAAUUUCUUUAAAACACAUCCUUUUCCUUUGACUAGAUUUUUGUGAGCAUUAUGUGGUUGGGAGUUUAGUGGAUGUAUUUCUUCAACACAUGAACACGAGCACAUGACAUCUGCUUGUAUACAUAUUUUAAAAAAGAAUAUAUAAGAGAAGUCUGUACCCAUUAUUAUAGACAAGUCCUGAUGCUUUGGUAUUCCCCACCUGUUGGCUUAAACUUUUGGAUCUGCUGUUGUUGCAGUUCUUCUAUGUUAUUAUUGUUGUUAAAUAUUAGUAUAUACAAUGGAUUUAGUUAAGUAGUUAAAAAUCGUGGACUCAAAAUAAUAUAAGUUAUGAAUUUAGAAGCAAAUAUGAUGUCAUUGUCGAACCUAAAUUUGGUAACCAAAUGAUGAAUCAAAAUCAGCAUCUCCAGUUUGGCGAGUUCAUUUCCAGGACAAGCAUGGGCACCGUUGCCAAAUGGCAUGUAGGUAUUGGGUUUGGGAGCAACCUGCAUCCAUCAUCCACCACUUGAUUAUUUUUUUUGGAGUUAACCAACUUUUCAUAUUUUAAAAUUCUAGACAGGUGGAGAAUUGAAAAGCACUUUGUUAGUACUCGAUCACCACAUACCUCAAAUCUGGAAGCAUCAAAAUUUUGAGGGUCAGCAAAAAAUUCUGAAUUGUGAUGAAUGUUUCUAAAUAGUGGCAUGACCUUCCAACCUUUUGGAAUCAAGUAACCUGCAUUUAAGAUAUCUUUACUAUUCAUGUUAAAUGAGUAAUACCUUACAGAAGGAUUGAAGGUAUAAUUAAUAAUGAUACAUAUGAAACUUCAUUUCUGUGCUUCAACCAACCUUCACACAACUAACACCAGUUCUUUGAGGCUUCUUUUUAUUUUACAAGUCGGUGGACCCAGAAGUGUAAUAAUUUGGGUUCAUUAACUUGUGGGACAAAAAGAAGCCUACAUAAUUAGUGUCAGCUGUGUGAGACACAAAAUAAAGUUUUUUCAAUACAUGCAUUUCUCAAUUUUUCUUGAUGUACUUGUGUCCAAUGAGUCUGACAUGUGAUUUUGAUUGAACUUGUUCCCUAUUUCAAAACUAUUGAACAUUCUCAUUGUACCCUUGAUGAAAUACGACUAUAGGAAUAACACCAUAUCUUAAAAACCACUGUACUUUUGGUAUGUUAUAUACAUUUUCAUGUCCAGUCAAAGCCUCAUAUAAAAUGACUGAAUGAUAAGUUAAAAAAAACUACUAUUAAGUAUCUAUACUAAUCGUCACACAUACUAGUAUCGAGUACAAAGUAGUCAUCUGCGUAAAAUAGAUAAUCAGAACAUUCCUACAGGAGCAAUGAGUUUAUAUAUGUGUGUCCUUUUUGUACUUAUUUAUCCAUGGUUGAACUUACAUUUGAUAACUAAUGACUUACCAUCGUAUUCUACAUCAACCACGGCUUCUCUAAAGGUGAAAGAUAUAAUGCUAGACAUCCUUAAGCUCUCUAAAAUGACCUGCAAUUGAAGUUCUUCUAGCUGAUGAGAGCGAACUGUGAGUAUAAUAUAAGUAGUUCUAAGAAGAAAAGAUUACCCUGUAAGUUAGUGACAUAUUUCUUGUUUGAGCCCAUGUCAACGGCUUCUUUCCUCCAUUUGAUUCGUAAAUUGUUCUUUGUUCUGCCUGCAAAAGAAAUGAUUUUUUUCUUAAACCUAGGAGCCGGACUCGCAAUAGAACAUGCUAGAAGCGCUAAUGGAGAUGGGAAACAGAAAGUGAUUUACCAUAUACACUGAUACUGUUAAUUUGUUUUUACACUAAGCAAAGAGGACACUUGGAUCUUGAGAGUACAGUUGGAGAGUUUCCCCUAUGUACGGCCAGCCCAUUGAACCAGGAGGCAGCUUUGCUUUUUGUAAGUUUGUCCAUUUUGAUUUCUUUAAUGAACUAUGAUAGUAUAAGAGAAGAGCUAUAAGAAAGAAAAGGACGUAAAUGGAACAAGAAAUAUUCUCCAUCUAAAUGGAGAAGUUCAGUGUUGUGCUUUGCAAUUUUAUAUUAUAUUAAUUUCUUUUGUUUUUGAUGGAUUAUUUAACUAGUGAGAAAAAGUUCUCCCUAUAUAUAGGAAGAAGAGGCUGGGAUAGAGACGAGAUAUAUAGGGAAGAAGGUUUGCCAAAUGUUGGGUAAGAGGGGUUAUUAUAUUACUGUAUCAUGAUAUGCCAUAUAAUAGAUUCAUACAUAUCCAAGGUAGGAGGAGGAAAUUGGACCACAUUAAGCAAUAUCAAAUGUCAUCUGAUGAAGUGGACCUAUUGUGUUGAAACAAGACAAAAUUCACACCAAUAGCUGAGUACUUAGUUUUGUCUGCUUUAACGUAUAUUUUUGUGCUCCUCUUCUUUUAGAGGUGACUAUUUUCGUUUUGUUCUCAUAGUUGUGCGCAUGUGAUCUUUUGAUUUCCUUUUACUUUUACUUUCGAGUGAAUACCAGAAGUAAUGGUGUUUAUCAAGGCCCACUCAAGCGGAAGAAAAUUCUCAUUCAUAUUGAUUAUGUAUGUGCACUGCUUUUGAGCCAAGGAUUUAUCAGAAAGCAACCUCUCUACCAAACUAAGAUAGGAUAAGGUAUGCAUACAUCCUACACUCCUACCUUUCCCACACCCUGCUUGUGGAAUUACCUCAGUAUAUUGUUGUUGUUGAUUGGUUGUUGGGGGAGUGGAGCGAUCAGGAACUGAUCACAUAGUAAAAUACAGAUAUGUAGAUCAUAUAAUAUCCUAAUCGAGUUCAUAUAAUAACACACACAUAUAUGAUGGUACCUCAAUUCAAAAGUUCUCUUUCAACUGGAAAAUGAGCAUGUCCGUGGUCCAUUGUAGAAACAUAGAGCCAACGUAAACAACAAAAAGUUUUGAUGACUUUCUGAAUAUGCUCAUUAAUUUGCAUAUAAAACAUAUGAGAAUAUUUUCUGAACUAUGCAAUAACGUUUUUGUAACACCACUCUCCCUCUUGAGUUAUUAUAGCACAUGAUAGGCUCUUCUAAUUUGUUUUACAUGACAUAAGUGAUUAGCAGAUGUGUAUUUAGCUUCAAAAGUAAUAUCAGCAACUAUAGAACUUUGUUGCUUCUGUAUAACUGCUAUGAUAUAAUUGUCACUAAUCACGAUAGCAUUUUCCUUCUGCCUUUUAAAUAUUUCUGUUCGAGAAUUCAGUUAUUAGUGUUCCCAAUAUAGGUAACUCUGAAAUGAACAACUCAAAAAUAUCUUUUGCUUUAUUCUACAUAUAAAAAUAGAUAAAUAUUUGUCCGUUGCACUAACUAUUUAUACUAAUUGUAUAAUGGUUAAUUAGUCAUACAUUACUAGAGAAGAAUUGAUAUUGAUGCAGUUUGUCCUACAAGUAUUUGAUGUUUUUGGCUAGUUAUAAGGUGAAGGAUAUCUUUAGUUUGUAAACAUAUAACCGUGAAAAGUAAUGCUAUUUGAUUAUUGGUAAUAUAUGAUAUAAUAUGAUAGUGGAUUUUGUUUUUUUAUGCAUAGCAAUCCUUGUUAAGAGGAAUCUUUUUCAGUGUCUAAUUUUAGAAUUGUUCAGUACAGUGUAGUGUGUACUAGUGAAAAGUGUGAUGCCACGACUGUGAUGCUUUAUCCACCUCAGAGUUUAGAUUUUAAUUGGUUAGGCAUGAUAUUGAUGUGUGAGGCUUCAACAAAUAGAAUAUAAGUUUCCAUUCUUAUGGUGCACGAAAAUGGAGCCAAACCAAAUUAUUGUUGCA